rnacentral:rRNA from 1 species
CUACGGGCGGCUGCAGUGGGGAAUAUUGCACAAUGGGCGCAGGCCUGAUGCAGCCAUGCCGCGUGUAUGAAGAAGGCCUUCGGGUUGUAAAGUACUUUCAGCGGGGAGGAAGGGAGUAAAGUUAAUACCUUUGCUCAUUGACGUUACCCGCAGAAGAAGCACCGGCUAACUCCGUGCCAGCAGCCGCGGUAAUACGGAGGGUGCAAGCGUUAAUCGGAAUUACUGGGCGUAAAGCGCACGCAGGCGGUUUGUUAAGUCAGAUGUGAAAUCCCCAGGCUCAACCUGGGAACUGCAUCUGAUACUGGCAAGCUUGAGUCUCGUAGAGGGGGGUAGAAUUCCAGGUGUAGCGGUGAAAUGCGUAGAGAUCUGGAGGAAUACCGGUGGCGAAGGCGGCCCCCUGGACGAAGACUGACGCUCAGGUGCGAAAGCGUGGGGAGCAAACAGGAUUAGAUACCCGUGUAGUC